GUAGGGGGCAAGCGGUGUCCGGAAUUAUUGGGCGUAAAGAGCGUGUAGGCGGCCAGAUAAGUCCGCUGUGAAAUCUCGAGGCUCAACUUCGAGCUGUCGGUGGAAACUAUCUGGCUAGAGUCCGGAAGAGGAGAAUGGAAUUCCUGGUGUAGCGGUGAAAUGCGCAGAUAUCAGGAAGAACACCCGUGGCGAAGGCGGUUCUCUGGGACGGUACUGACGCUGAGACGCGAAAGCGUGGGGAGCAAACAGG
rnacentral:rRNA from 1 species